rnacentral:rRNA from 1 species
GACGAACCGUGCGAACGUUGUUCGGAAUCACUGGGCUUAAAGGGCGCGUAGGCGGCCGGGUUGGUCGUGGGUGAAAUCCCCCAGCUUAACUGGGGAAUUGCCUACGAUACUGCCAUGGCUCGAGGGAGGAAGGGGCGGCCGGAACUGUCGGUGGAGCGGUGAAAUGCGUUGAGAUCGACAGGAACGCCGGUGGCGAAAGCGGGCCGCUGGCCCUCUUCUGACGCUGAGGCGCGAAAGCCAGGGGAGCGAACGGG